UACGAAGGGUGCAAACGUUGCUCGGAAUUAUUGGGCGUAAAGAGCUCGUAGGCGGUCUGUCGCGUCGGUCGUGAAAACCUGCAGCUUAACUGUGGGCGUGCGGUCGAUACGGGCAUGACUGGAGUUCGGCAGGGGAGACUGGAAUUCCUGGUGUAGCGGUGAAAUGCGCAGAUAUCAGGAGGAACACCGGUGGCGAAGGCGGGUCUCUGGGCCGAUACUGACGCUGAGGAGCGAAAGCGUGGGUAGCAAACAGG
rnacentral:rRNA from 1 species